rnacentral:rRNA from 1 species
AACGAACGCUGGCGGCAUGCCUAACACAUGCAAGUCGAACGAGACCUGCGGGUCUAGUGGCGCACGGGUGCGUAACGCGUGGGAACCUGCCCUUAGGUUCGGAAUAACUCCCCGAAAGGGGUGCUAAUACCGGAUAAUGUCUUCGGACCAAAGAUUUAUCGCCUUUGGAUGGGCCCGCGUUGGAUUAGCUAGUUGGUAGGGUAAAAGCCUACCAAGGCGACGAUCCAUAGCUGGUCUGAGAGGAUGAGCAGCCACACUGGGACUGAGACACGGCCCAGAAUACUACGGGAGGCAGCAGUGGGGAAUAUUGGACAAUGGGCGGAAGCAUGAACCAGCAAUGACGCGUGAGUGAUGAAGGCCUUAGGGUUGUAAAGCUAUUUUACCCGGGAUGAUAAUGACAGUACCGGGAGAAUAAGCUCCGGCUAACUCCGUG